UACGGCUACACUGCAUUGAAACAUAGGUUCCGAUAAGAUCACCAAAGUUAAGCAACGUCGAGCUUGGUCAGUACCUAGAUGGGUUACCGCUUGGAAAUACCAGGUG